rnacentral:rRNA from 1 species
GACGAACGCUGGCGGCGUGCCUAAUACAUGCAAGUCGAACGCAGUGGGGACGGGUGAGUAACACGUGGGUAACCUCCCAUCAGAGGGGAUAACACUUGGAAACAGGUGCUAACCCGAUAUUGAUGGAUCGACCCGCGGGGCAUUAGCUCGUUGGUGAGGUAACGGGCCACCAAGGCCAAGAUGCAUAGCCGGUCGGAGAGGGUGAACGGCAACACGGGGACUGAGACACGGCCCAGACUCCUACGGGAGGCAGCAGGAGGUAAUCUUCGGGAAUGGACGAAAGUCUGACCGAGCAACGACGCGUGAGUGAAGAAGGUUUUCGGAUCGUAAAACUCUGUUGUGAGAGAAGCGGUAGCUAACCAGAAAGCCACGGCUAACUACGUGCGAGCAGCCGAGGUAAUUC